GCAGUACAUCAGCUGGCUUGACUGUGUUUGGCUGUCAGACAUGAAUUGCUCAUGAUACUCUUUGUUAGUUCGCUAUAUUAUGUCUGUGAAGUCCGUUUAUGUUUGGAAUACUUAGUGUUCUGGCAAUUGUACCCUUGGAUAUCAACACAUAUCUUCACCAAAUCUUCAGAUAAGACCAGAAAAGCAUCAAUUAAUACGGUAAGUCGUCGUCGUGGCGUCGUGGGUGGCGACGCAGCUGGUGAGACAGAAGGUGACAGUGUCGUCGAGUCUCCGUCUGACUGAAGGUCGUCCUCGCCCAUCAUCGUCAAAGACUUCGCGGCGUGACCGGCCACUCUCUGCAUCCCCUGACACAAGGUAAGU